rnacentral:tRNA from 1 species
UACAAGAUGCCUGAAAAAAGGAUAAUUUUGAUAGAAUUAAUCAUGUGGUAACCACUUUUGUAAAAUUA